rnacentral:rRNA from 1 species
CAGGUGGUGCAUGGUUGUCGGUCAGCUCGUGUCGUGAGAUGUGGUUAAGUCCGCAACGAGCGCAACCCUUGUCUUUAGUUACCAUCAUUCAGUUGGGGACUCUAGAGAGACUGCCGGUGAUAAACCGGAGGAAGGUGGGGAUGACGUCAAAUCAUCAUGCCCCUUAUGGCCUGGGCUACAAACGUAAUACAAUGGCGUAUACAAAGGGAUGCGAAAGGGUGACCUGGAGCAAAACUCACAAAGUACGUCUCAGUUCAGAUUGGAGUCUGCAACUCGACUCCAUGAAGGCGGAAUCGCUAGUAAUCGCGGAUCAGCAUGCCGCGGUGAAUACGUUCUCGGGGUUU